UUCUCUCUAUCUGCUUAUUCUGCCUUCACAUAAUUCAUUUUUCGAGAGCCCUUUUUGAAGAGCAAAUUAGGUUCUUCUUUGGUCCCCCUUCUCCAUCUCUUCAUCCUUUUUCCCCGCUUUCUACUUUCCACCAUCAGGGCUCUUUUUUUGUGUGUUCGGCGCGGCGGAGGAGCAAAAAAAGAAAGUUUCUCCUUCAACUUCUUCCAUCCCAUCGGACGACGAUGGUGUGGAGCACUUGGAGCCGAGAGCUCACACAAAAACUGCAAAUUUAUUCACAAGUCAGUGAAUAGAGGAGACGCGCACCGCUGAGCACAUACACGUAAAAUAGAGAAAAAGAGACACCGAAAUGAAU
ensembl:ncRNA H01G02.8 ncRNA